UAACGCGUGGGUAACCUGCCUCAGUACAGGGGGAUAACAGUUAGAAAUGACUGCUAACACCGCAUAAUAUAGCGAAACCGCAUGAUUUUGCUAUCAAAUAUUUAUAGGUAUGAGAUGGGGCCCGCGUCUGAUUAGCUAGUUGGUGGGGUAAAAGCCUACCAAGGCGACGAUCAGUAGCCGGCUUGAGAGAGUGACCGGCCACAUUGGGACUGAGACACGGCCCAAACUCCUACGGGAGGCAGCAGGUGGGGAAUAUUGGACAAUGGGGGAACCCUGAUCCCAGCGACGCCGCGUGAGUGAAGAAGUAUUUCGGUAUGUAAAGCUCUACCAGCAGGGAAGAUAAUGACAGUACCUGACUAAGAAGCCCCGGCUAACUACGUGCCAGCCGCCGC
rnacentral:rRNA from 1 species